GGAUGUAUAGCUCAGUGGUAGAUAGAGCAUUCGACUGCAGAUCGAGAGGUUCCCGGUUCAAACCCGGAUGCUCCAUUCU